rnacentral:rRNA from 1 species
UACGGGGGGGGCAAGCGUUGUUCGGAAUUACUGGGCGUAAAGGGCUCGUAGGCGGCCAACUAAGUCGGAGGUGAAAUCCCCAGGCUUAACCUGGGAACUGCAUCCGAUACUGGAUGGCUUGAAUCCGGGAGAGGGAUGCAGAAUUCCAGGUGUAGCGGUGAAAUGCGUAGAUAUCUGGAGGAAUACCGGUGGCGAAGGCGGAUCUCUGGGCCUUGCCUGACGCUGAGGCGCGAAAGCUAGGGGAGCGAACAGG